rnacentral:rRNA from 1 species
UGGGGAAUAUUGCACAAUGGGGGAAACCCUGAUGCAGCGACGCCGCGUGAGUGAAGAAGUAUUUCGGUAUGUAAAGCUCUAUCAGCAGGGAAGAAAAUGACGGUACCUGACUAAGAAGCCCCGGCUAACUACGUGCCAGCAGCCGCGGUAAUACGUAGGGGGCAAGCGUUAUCCGGAUUUACUGGGUGUAAAGGGAGCGUAGACGGCGAAGCAAGUCUGAUGUGAAAGGCAGGGGCUCAACCCCUGGACUGCAUUGGAAACUGUUUUGCUAGAGUGCCGGAGAGGUAAGCGGAAUUCCUAGUG